rnacentral:lncRNA from 1 species
ACAAAUAGCCAUGCCCGAGUUUACACCGAUGACCACCGCCAUGUUUACAUCCGGAUCAACAACAACGGGAGGGGACGGGAUACGAUCUAGAGCGAGAGGCCGCCGGACUCCUCGUCCUCGUCGAGGUCCGAGGUGUAGACGGUGUAGAGCGACCAGAUGAGGCCGAAGACCCCCAGGAGGAUCCACCCCAGCAGGUUGUUGCUGAGCCCCAGGCUCAGCCCGGUGCCCUCCGUCGACAUCCUCUCGUCCACGAGCGCCAGCGCCGGCCCCGCCGACGCGGUCACCGCGCCCGCCGCCGCCAGCAGCGACGCGCCCGCGCCCUUGGCGCUCACGGCGGCCGCGUUCCUGCCGUCCUUGGAGUAGCCGCACCGCACCCUCUCGCUCCUCGCCCUCAGCUGGGGCAGCCCUGCAAAGAUGCAUGUACACAGAGUUCGAUCACCAUGAGCUUGCAAAGCGAGCGAGCGUGUGCGUUAAAGGCGAGACCAACUGCAAACGAUGCGUACCGAGAGCGUUGGGCCUGGCGAUCGCGGCGCGGGCAACGACGGUGGUCGCCACGGCGGCGCUGAUGGUGGCCAUGGCUGCUGCGUAUCCGGAUCUCUCGCUGGCCGCUUGCUGGAGAAGUUUGGUGUGUUCGUGGCUCGCGU